rnacentral:lncRNA from 1 species
AAAAAAAAAAAAGAAAGAAAUACAUAAUAUCUGGCUCUCAACAAAAAAUCACAAGGCACACUAAAAGAUAAGAAAGGGACAGCCAGAAGAAGGGACAGAGAGAUCAUCAGAACUAGAAUCAGAUAAGACACAGAUAUUGGAAUUAUCACACAAGGAAUUUAAAAUUACUGAUUUAUGUUAUGGGCUCAAAUGGAAAAAUAAACAGCAUGUAACACCAAAUGGAUAAUGUCAGCAGAGAGAUAGAAACUAUUAAUAUAAGAAACAAAAGGAAAUACUAGAAAUGGAAAACUGUAAUAAAAAUGAAGUAUGUCUUCAACAGGUUUACCUACUGGACAUAGCUGAAGAAAAAAAAGAAUCAGUGCAUUUGAACAUAGUUUAAAUAGAAACUUCCCAAAUUGAAGCACAAAGAGGAAGAAGAAUCUCAAAAACUCAGAACAAUGAAGAACUGUGGACAAUAUCAAAAGGGACUCAUUUGGAAGCAGUGCAUUUUUAUCAGAGGGACUGAAAAGCCUUUCGAGAAUCAGUCAAGAAAAAGGAAUGCGCAUGAGAGUCAUGGUCACAUCAUGUGAUUGUAGGGAAAGCCUAGGCUAUCAUGGAGGGAAGAGAUUGGAUAAAUUAUUUGAAAAGCAAGCCUGUGAAUUGCUGUGGAGGAACAAUAGCCUGUCUCUUAUCUGGAGCCUUUCCAAGGAAAAGCAAAGGGGACCCUAGAAGGCUUCCUGGGAGACAGUUUAAUUCUGAAAACAAAGCAGUACUUCACCUCUUGUGUGUUGGGUAGAGCUGUAAAACAGAACACAGUCAAAAUAGUCAUUAGGGCCACAUCAAUGUCUGCCCAAAGUCAGGCGAGCAUUCCCAGGAAGGUGGGGGGCUGUGGCAGUUGCACACAUCAACCUCCUUUCUCCAUUGUCACACAGCAGAAGAGCGUGUUCCAUUCUACUAAAGUUGGGGCGGGGGGAGUUGAAUAAUUUAUUGACUGAAAACUGGGGGCCUGAGUUAGAUGGUAAAAAAGUUUAGAGUGCUGUUUUUUGUUUUUUAAGUUAUGUUUGUUUUAUAUAUUGAAGUGCUUAAAAUGUAUUUUAAAAAUUCAAAACAUCCCAGAAAUUCAGCAACUUGAGGAGACAAUAGUGACGAACAUUUUAUGGCAACAUUUGGACACUUUAAAGAUUAUUUCAGGAACUUUAAUGCUGAUAAAUGAGAGAAGGGACAACUUUUCCUAACUAUAACAUUUCGGCACCUGAGUACAGGGAUCAAAACAAGAGCAAGCAUUUCAAAUUCAUAUUGUGAAGCACCUACAAAAAGAUUAUUCUGUUAGCCUUCAUAAUGUGGAGAGUUCAUCUUUUCAUCUUAUCAAAUAAAAAUAUACCCAAAUUCUUGAACAGGCAUUCAGUUAGGAAAAGAGGGUGGGGUGAUGAAAUGUGUUCUCAUUCAGCAAACACUUUGCAGAUAUUUCUAGUCAAAGAUCCCUGUGGUCUAGGCUAGUGAGAGAAAAACGUGCCCUCUGCCCAGUGACAGCGGCUGCACGGGGAUCAGCUUUCACCAAUGCAGGCAGGGGAACAAAGGGCAGGCUUCAUCUGCCUGCAUCCCACAGGCCCUUGCGCAGGGGAGUUCCAUUUCAGUGCCCAUCACAUGACCUCUCAGGCCAAAACGGUUUUUAAUAAUUCUGAUUUUGAAUAUCAAAUGGAAGUGAAAAGUACAUUUAGGAAGGAAGGGCUCUAUCCUUAUUGAAGAACAUGCUCUAUGCAAACAGGUUGGACAGGCACUAGCUCUUGUAGAGCUAUGGUUCUCAGCUUUGGCAACACACUGGAUCACCUCCUCUAAAAGGUACUGAUGCCUGCUUUCCUCCCUCUUCUGCCCCUAAAGAAAGUAGAAUUUAAUUUUAAGCUCUAGGGUGUGGCCUGGGCAUCAGGACUUUUUUUUUUUUUUUGACAGAGUCUCACUGUGUCACCUAGGCUAGAGUGCAGUGUGCAGUCUUGGCUCACUGCAGCCUCAAUCUCCCAGAUUCAAGAGAUCCUCCUGCCUCAGCCCCCUAAGUAACUAGGAUUACAGGCACGCACCACCACACCAGGCUAAUUUUUGUAUUUUUUGUGGAGACGGUCUUUCACUGUGUUGCCCAAGCUGGUCUUGAACUCCUGAGCUCAGGUGAUCCACCUGCCUCAGCCUCCCAAAGUGCUGGGAUUACAGGCAUAAGCCACAGCCCCUGGCCGGCAUCAGGAUUUUUAAAAGCUCCCAAGUGCAGUCAAGGUUGAGAACAGCUGCUAUAGUGUGACUUAAUACAGCAUUCAAAGCCUCUCAUAAUCUAGCCUCAGCCUAAUUUUUCCUUCCAGCACCCCAUCUCAGCCUGUACAUAAGCCACAGAGACAUUCUCACUGUUCUCUGAAUGUACUUGGCUCAUUCAUAUUUCCAGGCUUUCUUGCACACACAUUGUCUGACUCUGGGCACCUAAGGAAAGCUCAGCUCCAAUGUCCUCUCCUCUUCCGUGAAACCUUUCCUGUCAAGCCCACCUUCACUACUAAGUCACUCCUUGCUCCUAGAUCAGAUGGAAGAAUGCUUUGGCAUAUCUCUACUGGAGCCCUUCUCACUUUACAUUAAAGAUAACUGUAUAUAGGUUAGCCCACUCCUCCUCCCUAAUAGCAUGUGGACCCUUUGUAGUUUCAGCAGUAAGCACAGGGCUUGGUUUCUAUGAAUACUUAUUGAGUGAAUGGAUGAAUGAAUGCCAAUCUUGUACAUUGUUGAUGUUCACCACAUUGAACCCAGUUCUCAAACCAGGAUCACUUGGGAGAUUCUGAGUCAAUAAUUUGAAGGUCUGUAUCAUUCCUACUCAAAGUGUGGUCCAUAAGCCAGCAGUGGCUAUAUUAUCUGGGAGCUUGUUGCAAAUGCAGAAUAUGUAUUUUAACAAGAUCCCCAGGCAAUUCAUAUGCACAUUACACUUUGAGCUAUAUUUUUAACAAGCUCCCAGGUGAUUCCUUUGUAGCCCGGCUGCUGACCUGCAUUUCGUAACCACUGUUCUAGACCUUCAUUUGCUGAAUGGAGUGGUCCCUGUGUGAUUGCCUACAGGUUUCUUCUAGUCUCCCAUUUUUCUUCCUAGUUAACAAAGCCCAAAUUUUGUUUGGAAGGGUGAUCAGCCCUUCACCCAUCAGGCCUUUGCCUCAGGGAAGCUUGACCCCACCUUUAGACCCCAUGUUGGGCCUGAGUAGUCCAAAGGCAUAUCCCAUUCCCCUGGCCAGGGAUUAGUUUAGGGAUAGACAUGUGACCAAAUUCAGCUCAAUAAAAUGUGAGUCUGCAGGGGCAAUCUAGAAAAAGUGUCCUCUUCCCUAAGAGAAAGCCACAGGAGGGUAAAAAAAUGUCUCAGAACAUUGUCCUGCCUAAACAUGAUGCCUCGGACAUUCUGCUUCUGUCUUGCUACCUGCAGCACAAGGAAAUCCAACACUGAGGGGUCACAGCAGAGGGACGGAAAGCACCUGGAUCUUACAACAUUGUUGAGCUCUUUUGUCUCUUGACUUCUAGUUAUGAGAUGUAAUUUUCUUACUGUUAAAGUCAUUUCUGUUCCUUGCAACCAAAAGCAUUCAUUGAUACACUGAAUAUAGUACAAUAUUUAUUCAAUCAAUAAAUGCCUGGCAAAUUACCCAAGU